rnacentral:rRNA from 1 species
AUUGAACGCUGGCGGCAUGCUUUACACAUGCAAGUCGAACGGCAGCGCGGGCUUCGGCCUGGCGGCGAGUGGCGAACGGGUGAGUAAUGCAUCGGAACGUGCCCAGUAGUGGGGGAUAGCCCGGCGAAAGCCGGAUUAAUACCGCAUACGACCUGAGGGUGCAAGCGGGGGACCGAAAGGCCUCGCGCUAUUGGAGCGGCCGAUGUCGGAUUAGCUAGUUGGUGGGGUAAAGGCUUACCAAGGCGACGAUCCGUAGCUGGUCUGAGAGGACGACCAGCCACACUGGGACUGAGACACGGCCCAGACUCCUACGGGAGGCAGCAGUGGGGAAUGUUGGACAAUGGGGGCAACCCUGAUCCAGCCAUGCCGCGUGCGGGAAGAAGGCCUUCGGGUUGUAAACCGCUUUUGUUCGGGAAGAAAUCCUCUAGGCUAAUACCCCGGGGGGAUGACGGUACCGGAAGAAUAAGCACCGGCUAACUACGUG